AGGGUACAGUCGCGUCCAGAGAGUUACGCACUUUGAAGCGUGACUUUGAAAGGACAAAGGAUGAAUUGGCCAAAGUUGCCCUAUCAAAUCGAGCGCUUCGCGACAGAGUGCAUCAGUUGGAAGACAAGGUACGGAAGGAGUCAAUGAAAGCUGAAAAAGAGUUCGAAAAAAAUAAAAAGUGUGUGGAGGAUUUCCGCAACACCCUGGCUUCAAUGGAGCAUUAUUUUAAGUUGGAGAUAGAGCAGCUGAAAAAACAAAAUGGUGGGGUGAAUGAAGCUGCGGAAGGACAUGAGGACCUCGGUAGUCCUCAUAUGAAUGAAGGAGGCAACAAUGACUUGUCGCCAUUACAUGCCUAUGUUAGUCCGCCUACAGAACCGGCAGUAAUGGAAACACAAGUCCCCGGUGAUGGAGCCGAACCUUCCGCAGCCAUGGUAGUUGAAGAGGCAAAAAUGGCCGCUUCAGUUCCUCACUUAGAAGUGCAUGAAGUAGCUGAC
rnacentral:lncRNA from 1 species